rnacentral:rRNA from 1 species
UACAGAGGUCCCGAGCGUUGUUCGGAUUUAUUGGGCGUAAAGAGCUCGUAGGCGGCUCGUCGCGUCGACCGUGAAAACCCGCGGCUUAACUGCGGGCUUGCGGUUGAUACGGGCGGGCUAGAGUUCGGUAGGGGAGACUGGAAUUCCUGGUGUAGCGGUGAAAUGCGCAGAUAUCAGGAGGAACACCGGUGGCGAAGGCGGGUCUCUGGGCCGAUACUGACGCUGAGGAGCGAAAGCGUGGGGAGCGAACAGG